UUGGGCGUCUGUCUCUUUAAAAACUCCUGGUAUUUCUGAGACAGGAAGUCAUAACAACAUGGCUCCCCUAUUAACCCUUUAGCAACGUUUUUACCAGCGUUGCAUUGAGAAAUAGCUCACAUAAUGAGCUUAGACUGUUAUUCCAUGAGGUGUUUGCUAAUUGCUGCUGGCUAGUCUGAAGGAGCUGAGUGGGGGAGGAGCUGCGUCUGGAAGGCGGGGCUUGGUUCACCCAAGCGUUUUGCACAGCUGAACGGUUGCCAUGGAGAUUAAAGGAUUUCUCAAACAUGCAUGAA